CUUAGGACUUAGGCACUCAUUAUGGCAUCAUAUUAGGCACUCAUUAUGGCAUCAUAGAGUCAAAGCCUACAAAUUCUAGUCUAGCUGGAAUGAAGAGGAAAGUUGCAGAAGCACCACCAGCCAUGGCAGGGGUUGGCGAGCUUCCUUCAGUUGGUUCAAAGAAGAAACCCCAGGAGUGGAGUUGUGCUCUCUGUCAAGUAAGUGCAACAAGUGAGAAGGGUCUGAAUGAUCAUCUCCAAGGGAGAAAGCACAAGGCCAGGGGAGAAGCACUUCUAGCAAGUAAAGCAACCAAGAACACUGGUGGCUCAACUUCAACAACAAAGAAAACUUCUUCUAAACAGAUUAAGACUGCAGACACCACUGACAAUACAAAGCCAAAGCAGGGGAAGAAACAAAAGGACAAGGUAAUAAGAAGCAACCUCCUCUCAAGAAAGAUGGGGAUGCACCAGUGCAGAAAAAACAGAAGAUAGAAGAUUCAAAAAAUAAAACUGGGGAGGCCCUGGAGCAGAAAAAACAGAAGCGAGAAUCUUCAAAGAAAAUAUUUUGGUGUGAGAUGUGUCAAGUUGGUGCCUACAGCCAGAAAGUUUUGAACAAUCAUAAGAAGGGGAAGAAGCAUGUGUCUCGGUUGGAGAAACUGAAGAAAGAAAAUGGAUAUGCCCCAGUUGCAACUACCUUGUUGGAGUCUACUCAUGAUAUUGCCGAAAAUAUAGUCAUGGAAGCCAAAGAGGCAAAUGGAGAGAUGGAAAAUGUGGAUGGGGAAGCAGAUGGAGUGAAAGAGGCUGAUAAACAGUUGGCAGGUGAAGCAAACAGAUGAUGAAUCAGCUGUAGACAUGGUUGACAGUUCAAUAGUUGAGGAGUCAUCAGAGGCAUGAAAUGAUGAUUCAGGCCCAACUUCUGUAGCAGUAGUGGAGGAGCAUGAGAUUAAAAGUCAUACUUCUGAGAGUUUACUGGUAGCUCAGUGUUCCCUGCUUAGGUAGGUUGUGAAUGUAUGAAGAGUACUGUGGUAACAUUAUCAUCUAGAGUGGAAUGAUCGUCAAUUGGAUCUGCUUGAGGGUUGACCAGUCCUCUUUUUAAAGUUAAUCGUAGUGCUUAGUCAUCCCUGUUUUAUAGUAAUUUACUUGGUUCUGGCUUUCAA